CAGUCGCCGCGGUAAUACAGAGGGUGCGAGCGUUAAUCGGAUUUACUGGGCGUAAAGCGCACGUAGGCGGCUUGGUAAGUUAGAGGUGAAAGCCUGGAGCUCAACUCCAGAAUUGCCUUUAAGACUGCCGAGCUAGCAGGUGAGAGAGGUAAGUGGAAUUCCGAGUGUAGAGGUGAAAUUCGUAGAUAUUCGGAAGAACACCAGUGGCGAAGGCGGCUUACUGGCUCAUACUGGACGCUGAGGUGCGAAAGCGUGGGGAGCAAACAGGAUUAGAUACCCCGGUAGUCCCUGUCUCUUAUAA
rnacentral:rRNA from 1 species